rnacentral:rRNA from 1 species
UACAGAGGGGGCAAGCGUUGUUCGGAAUUACUGGGCGUAAAGCGUGCGCAGGCGGUGAUGUAAGACAGGUGUGAAAUCCCCGGGCUCAACCUGGGAAUGGCGAUGGAUACUGGCGGGCUAGAGUGCGGUAGAGGAGAGUGGAAUUCCCGGUGUAGCAGUGAAAUGCGUAGAGAUCGGGAGGAACAUCAGUUGCGAAGGCGGCUCUCUGGACCAGCACUGACACUGAGGCACGAAAGCGUGGGGAGCAAACAGG